AGAGAGUCCCACAGCUACAGCAAGCACCUCCUCCUGCUCCUCUCGAGUCACGUCGGAGCGAAGUCUCCAUCUGGCUAAGGACCCAUUUCCAACCCCACCCCCAGAAAGAGAGGUGUUUUCACUGACUCUUGCGUGUUUGAAUAAAAACUGAAGUCCUCUGUGCAGAAGGGGCCCGAUCCAUCAAACGUGAAGCACAAUGAAGGUUCCAGUCCUCCUAACCUCACUAAAAGGAAGACCAUGAAUGGAAAUUACUUCCCCAGUAAACAUGAUGAGGCUCUCAGAGACCCAAAUAAGCCCUCCGCCGCCCACAGAACUCCUCAUUGACUCGAGUGUCCUCUUUCGAACCUGGCACUGCGCAGAAACCGGCGGAUCCCCGUCUGUGGCUGAGAGGAGGAGGCCACUUUCACCUUUCGCUCUUGCUGGCGCGCUCCAAUCAAAAAGCCAGCAAUGGGCCCGCUUCGGGGCGUGAGCAUUUAUCUCGAGUUUGGGGUCAUUAUCUUUACUAUACAGCCUCGGCAAUAAAUAAAUCUCGCGGUUACGACCCCCACAAUAAAGCUGCAGUGGAUGGGA